rnacentral:rRNA from 1 species
AGUGAACGCUGGCGGUAGGCCUAACACAUGCAAGUCGAACGGCAGCACAGUAAGAGCUUGCUCUUACGGGUGGCGAGUGGCGGACGGGUGAGGAAUACAUCGGAAUCUACUUUUUCGUGGGGGAUAACGUAGGGAAACUUACGCUAAUACCGCAUACGACCUACGGGUGAAAGCAGGGGAACUUCGGACCUUGCGCGAUUGAAUGAGCCGAUGUCGGAUUAGUUAGUUGGCGGGGUAAAGGCCCACCAAGGCGACGAUCCGUAGCUGGUCUGAGAGGAUGAUCAGCCACACUGGAACUGAGACACGGGCCAGACUCCUACGGGAGGCAGCAGUGGGGAAUAUUGGACAAUGGGCGCAAGCCUGAUCCAGCCAUGCCGCGUGGGUGAAGAAGGCCUGCGGGUUGUAAAGCCCUUUUGUUGGGAAAGAAAAGCAGCAGGUUAAUACCCCGCUGUUCUGACGGUACCCAAAGAAUAAGCACCGGCUACCUUCGU